UAUAAUUUAUUAACACAUUUUUUAACUAUACCACUAUUUAAUUAGUAUAACUGUUUACUUUUGGGGACAAGCGGCCAUUUGAAAAUGUAAUCUAUAUAUAAUAGCAAACUCACAGUGAUGUCAACAUUUUUUUAUAGGAAAAUAAAAUUGAAAUCGCAGGGUGGAGAUUGUUGCUGUUAUUCAAUCUAAUGGAUGAAAUUUUAGAUUCAUUUAGACGUCUGACGUCAUCAAUACUAACGCAAAUGGACGCAAACAGCAUCUCUUCGUUUCCUUUUUCUGAAUAGUCACUUCUCAGAAGACACAACUUUUCAGAAUAAAAUACUUUUAACAAAUUUAUUUAUGGUUUCUUAAUCUCAUCAGAUCAUCACUGUGCUUAGUUUCCAUUCAAUUCAUCUUCCUUUCUUCGAAUUUUCUCUUCUUCGUGUGGAUUUUUUUAUUUAGUAUGGAAUAUCUCUUAUCUGUCACCGCCAAUAAACCUAACUGAUGAGUCUUUGUUCCUGCCGUUGAUCUGCAUAUGAACUUUGCUGAAUUUUUCUUUAUUCUCUUUUUUUUUCUGAUAACUACCACUCUUUUCUCUCCCCAACCCACUGAUUAUUUACUUUAUCAUUCUCAGUGGCAGAGAACAUAUCUUCUUUCUCAAAAACUCAGUGAUCUCUUCUGGUAACGUUUUCCAUCCAUAAAAUCAGACCGGACAAGUGGAGGAGAUACAUAUCGAUGUGUUUCCUUCUCACCGAACAAUCACGGUUUCGACUCGCCUUUGAGACCAGAUUCAAUCGGUUAAAUGAACAUAUUCUCAAAAGGUGUGAACUUCAAGUCCAAAGAUAGGCGUCGGUAAACACAAGAUGUGCAUGGAUAUUGCGAAGCUGUGAUAAAAUCUCAUCAAUAAUAUUUGAAUUUGCAAGGAGGCGUUUUUUGACAAAAAUUUGAUAGUGUGCAAUUACACUUUUGUAAAGUGAAGCUUAAAUAAAUGACAAACGAUCUAGAACUGACCGUAUCAUAUAUAGCCAUUAUAUAAAAUUUUGUCUGUUUAUCAA